rnacentral:rRNA from 1 species
GCAGUAGAACGCUGAAGAGAGGAGCUUGCUCUUCUUGGAUGAGUUGCGAACGGGUGAGUAACGCGUAGGUAACCUGCCUUGUAGCGGGGGAUAACUAUUGGAAACGAUAGCUAAUACCGCAUAACAAUGGAUGACACAUGUCAUUUAUUUGAAAGGGGCAAUUGCUCCACUACAAGAUGGACCUGCGUUGUAUUAGCUAGUAGGUGAGGUAAUGGCUCACCUAGGCGACGAUACAUAGCCGACCUGAGAGGGUGAUCGGCCACACUGGGACUGAGACACGGCCCAGACUCCUACGGGAGGCAGCAGUAGGGAAUCUUCGGCAAUGGGGGCAACCCUGACCGAGCAACGCCGCGUGAGUGAAGAAGGUUUUCGGAUCGUAAAGCUCUGUUGUAAGUCAAGAACGGGUGUGAGAGUGGAAAGUUCACACUGUGACGGUAGCUUACCAGAAAGGGACGGCUAACUACGUGCCAGCAGCCGCGGUAAUACGUAGGUCCCGAGCGUUGUCCGGAUUUAUUGGGCGUAAAGCGAGCGCAGGCGGUUUGAUAAGUCUGAAGUUAAAGGCUGUGGCUCAACCAUAGUUCGCUUUGGAAACUGUCAAACUUGAGUGCAGAAGGGGAGAGUGGAAUUCCAUGUGUAGCGGUGAAAUGCGUAGAUAUAUGGAGGAACACCGGUGGCGAAAGCGGCUCUCUGGUCUGUAACUGACGCUGAGGCUCGAAAGCGUGGGGAGCGAACAGGAUUAGAUACCCUGGUAGUCCACGCCGUAAACGAUGAGUGCUAGGUGUUGGAUCCUUUCCGGGAUUCAGUGCCGCAGCUAACGCAUUAAGCACUCCGCCUGGGGAGUACGACCGCAAGGUUGAAACUCAAAGGAAUUGACGGGGGCCCGCACAAGCGGUGGAGCAUGUGGUUUAAUUCGAAGCAACGCGAAGAACCUUACCAGGUCUUGACAUCCCGAUGCUAUUUCUAGAGAUAGAAAGUUACUUCGGUACAUCGGUGACAGGUGGUGCAUGGUUGUCGUCAGCUCGUGUCGUGAGAUGUUGGGUUAAGUCCCGCAACGAGCGCAACCCCUAUUGUUAGUUGCCAUCAUUCAGUUGGGCACUCUAGCGAGACUGCCGGUAAUAAACCGGAGGAAGGUGGGGAUGACGUCAAAUCAUCAUGCCCCUUAUGACCUGGGCUACACACGUGCUACAAUGGUUGGUACAACGAGUUGCGAGUCGGUGACGGCGAGCUAAUCUCUUAAAGCCAAUCUCAGUUCGGAUUGUAGGCUGCAACUCGCCUACAUGAAGUCGGAAUCGCUAGUAAUCGCGGAUCAGCACGCCGCGGUGAAUACGUUCCCGGGCCUUGUACACACCGCCCGUCACACCACGAGAGUUUGUAACACCCGAAGUCGGUGAGGUAACCUUUUGGAGCCAGCCGCCUAA